UACGAGGGGUGCAAGCGUUGCUCGGAAUUAUUGGGCGUAAAGGGUUGGUAGGUGGUCUUGUUUGUCUAGGGUGAAAUCCCAUGGCUUAACUGUGGAAGUGCCCUAGAAACGGCAAGACUAGAGUCCUAGAGGGGUUCGUGGAAUUCCCGGUGUAGCGGAUGAAAUGCGUAGAGAUCGGGAGGAACACCAGUGGCGAAGGCGGCUCUCUGGGACGGUACUGACGCUGAGACGCGAAAGCGUGGGGAGCGAACAGG
rnacentral:rRNA from 1 species